rnacentral:misc_RNA from 1 species
GUCAAAUGUAUUAUAGCGGUUAUGGGGUUCCUCGAGAUGCUCAGAAGGGAAGAAUUUGGAUGACAAAAGCAUCAAGAAGUCGAUCGUCGGUCUGGAAAGUUAGUGAUAAACAUCCAGGCUAUAAUGCUAGUGAUUCAGAUUCAGAUGAAUUGACUCGUGAUUCUUAACUGCACCAGUGUUGCUGAUUCCUCUAUGUCAUGUCAAAACAACCACUGGAUGUGGUUUUCACUGUGGAGAAUGUACUUGCUCAGCUAUCUUUGUAGCUCUUCGCAUACUUGCUUCCUGAUUGUUGGAUUUGACGGAUGUAAUAUGCUUUGAUUUUACCUUUACCCUACAAACAAUUUGUCGCACUUUCAUGUGGUCAAAU